GACGUAGGGCGCGAGCGUUGUCCGGAUUUAUUGGGCGUAAAGAGCUCGUAGGCGGCUCGUUGCGUCGGCUGAUGAAAACCCGCAGCUCAACUGUGGGCUUGCAGCUGAUACGGGCGGGCUGGAGUUCGGUAGGGGAGACUGGAAUUCCUGGUGUAGCGGUGAAAUGCGCAGAUAUCAGGAGGAACACCGGUGGCGAAGGCGGGUCUCUGGGCCGAUACUGACGCUGAGGAGCGAAAGCCAGGGGAGGCGAACGGG
rnacentral:rRNA from 1 species